UUGUUGCAGUUAAAAAGCUCGUAGUUGGACUUUAGGCAAGGCGGCCUGGUCACCCUCUGGGUGUACUGGGAUCGCUGCGCCUCACCUUCGGGGAGCUAGUCGUGCUUCGGUGCGCUAGGGAACCGAGCCUUACCUUGAGGAAAUUAGAGUGUUUAAAGCAGGCUUAUGCUUGAAUACGUUAGCAUGGAAUAACAUGAUAGGACUUUGGUUCUAUUUUGUUGGUUUGAGGACCAAAGUAAUGAUUAAUAGGGACAGUUGGGGGCAUUAGUAUUCAAUAGUCAGAGGUGAAAUUCUUGGAUUUAUUGAAGACUAACUAAUGCGAAAGCAUUUGCCAAGGAUGUUUUCAUUAAUCAAGAACGAAAGUUAGGGGAUCGAAGACGAUUAGAUACCGUCGUAGUCUUAACCAUAAACUAUGCCGACUAGGGAUCGGUGGAAGUCGAUUUUGACUCCAUCGGCACCUUACGAGAAAUCAAAGUUUUUGGGUUCUGGGGGGAGUAUGGUCGCAAGGCUGAAACUUAAAGGAAUUGACGGAAGGGCACCACCAGGAGUGGAGCCUGCGGCUUAAUUUGACUCAACACGGGAAAACUCACCAGGUCCGGACAUGG
rnacentral:rRNA from 1 species